ensembl:misc_RNA Metazoa_SRP Metazoan signal recognition particle RNA
GCUGGGCGUGGUGGUGCAUGCCUGUAGUCCCAGCUACUCGGGAGGCUGAGACAGGAGAAUCACUUGAACCUGGGAGGUGGAGGUUGCAGUGAGCCAAGAUUGUGCCACUGCAGUCCAGCCUGGGUGACAAAGUGAGACUCUGUCUCAG